rnacentral:ncRNA from 1 species
CUUAUGAAGAGUGGUUGAGGGACGGGCCCGAUGAAACCCGCCAACCUGCGUAAGCGAGGUGGCAAUUCCCGCAGCGUGCAACGCUGGCAGAUAAGG